rnacentral:piRNA from 1 species
AUUGGAGUUCAUGCAAGUUCUAACCAGCU